rnacentral:lncRNA from 1 species
AUAUAAGAAUCUUUAAAGGAAUGACAUGUUCAACAAAAUAAAAUAAAAAAAGAAAAAACUUCAAAUACAAUUUCUGUGGUUUCGUAUUUUUUUACUUUAGUAUUUCGUGAUUUAAAAUGUAUUAAUUUAGUACUAUGUGGUUUCGCACUUUCUCAGUUUAGUAUCUUAUGGUUUAAAGUGCAUCAAUUUAGUAGUCUGUGAUUUUAUUUUUUUCUUUUCGUCAGCUCCUCUGUUAAUAUUUUAUUAAAUUAUAUACAAAAACUUCAGAUACCCUAUCUAGAUUUAUCAAAUAUUUACUUUAGUAUCCUUUUGUUUUAACUUUGUCACUGAUUUUUUUUCCUCCGUUAAUAUUUUGUUAGAUUAUAUACAAAAAACUUCAGAUACCCUAUCUAGGUUUAUCAAAUAUUCAUUUUAGUACUCUUUAAUUUUAACUUUCUCACUGAUUUAACGAAAAAAAUUAGUGAAAUGAAUAAUAAAAAGAGAAAAAUAAAAUCAUAAGGUACUAACUUGAUACACUUUAAACCACAUGAUACUAAAGUGAGAAACUGCAAAAUAAUAUGGGCUAACUUGAUACAUUUUAAAUCAUAGAAUGAAAAAGUAUGAAACCAUAGGAGGUAUUUAAAGUUUAUACUAAAAAAUAUAUAGAAAAAUCGAAAAUAUUUUGCAGAAACUUUAGAAAUAAGUCAACACCUGAUCUCAUCCCAUUCUUUCUAAAAUAAUCACCAUCACUAUAAAAAUCGAGGGCCCCAUUGAUUUGUUUUUAUCUUUCCAUCAUUUUAUACAUAUAUGUAUAUUUAUAUAUAUGUAGGCUAUAAGUUUUUUUGUAUUCAUAAAUUUUUUAUUAUUGGAUAAAGAUAUAUACGGUUAGGAUGAUAAUAUUUUUCUAUGAUUGAGUGAGUAGUUGGUUGAAUAGUAUGAUCCAACGGAUAAAAAAUGAUCAAACGAGUAGAUUUAAAGACCAAAAAUUUAUAAAUAUAAAAAAAAUCAUACUCAUAAAAAUAUAGUAGCCGAACUUUCUCUCUAUCUAUAUAUAGAUCGUCAACAUGAUUGUUCCUUCGUCUCCUAACA